AAUGAACGUUGGCGGCGUGGAUUAGGCAUGCAAGUCGUACGAGAAUCGUAGCAAUACGAGGAAAGUGGCGGAAGGGAGAGGAUUACGUGGGAACCUACCCUCAGAACUGGGAUAGCGGCGGGAAACUGCCGGUAAUACCAGAUAAUGUCUGUGGACCAAAGGUGUGAUUCCGUCUGGGGAUAAGCCCACGUCCUAUUAGCUAGUUGGCAGGGUAAUGGCCUACCAAGGCAAUGAUGGGUAGCGGGUGUGAGAGCAUGACCCGCCUCACUGGGACUGAGAACUGCCCAGACACCUACGGGUGGCUGCAGUCGAGAAUCUUCGGCAAUGAGCGCAAGCUUGACCGAGCGACGCCGCGUGCGGGAUGAAGGCCUUCGGGUUGUAAACCGCUGUCGUAGGGGAGCAAGAGAUGAGGGUACUCCCUCUGAUUUGAGCGAUCCUAGGAGGAAGGACGGGCUAAGUUCGUGCCAGCCGCCGCGGUAACAC
rnacentral:rRNA from 1 species